rnacentral:rRNA from 1 species
AGUGAACGCUGGCGGUAGGCCUAACACAUGCAAGUCGAACGGCAGCACAGUAAGAGCUUGCUCUUACGGGUGGCGAGUGGCGGACGGGUGAGGAAUACAUCGGAAUCUACUUUUUCGUGGGGGAUAACGUAGGGAAACUUACGCUAAUACCGCAUACGACCUACGGGUGAAAGCAGGGGAUCUUCGGACCUUGCGCGAUUGAAUGAGCCGAUGUCGGAUUAGCUAGUUGGCGGGGUAAAGGCCCACCAAGGCGACGAUCCGUAGCUGGUCGGAGAGGAUGAUCCGCCACACUGGAACUGAGACACGGUCCAGACUCCUACGGGAGGCAGCAGUGGGGAAUAUUGGACAAUGGGCGCAAGCCUGAUCCAGCCAUACCGCGUGGGUGAAGAAGGCCUUCGGGUUGUAAAGCCCUUUUGUUGGGAAAGAAAAGCAGCAGGUUAAUACCCCGCUGUUCUGACGGUACCCAAAGAAUAAGCACCGGCUAACUUCGUG